GCCAGAGGUGGCCCGAAGAAUGUUUUUUUGUUCAGAUCAGCACAAAAAAUGGAGGCGCUAUGGGCUUAAGGGGGGUGUAUGGCAGUGAUUUCGUGAGGGAGGCCCAAGGAGAUUGUUUCAAACACUUAUCAUUUUCAGAUUUUAUGUCCACUAAACUCAAUUAACCAGACUUCCUCUAAUCAAAUUUCCAAUUAAAAGUAAUUAAUCAAACAUGUAAAAAGGAUUAGGGUUGAAAAUUACAUGAUGUUCAAGUUCUCUCUCGUGAACACGCAAACGGCGGCAGUGUUUCUCCGAUCCGAUCAAAUCACCGCCGCAAGCCAAAAUGGGACACCGAUCCCUCUCUCAUCUCACGCCUCGCUUCGAUUCUCCCAUUUUCCUCACAGCGAUGCAAACGACACUCUUUCUCGGCUCGUUUCACUCGCAACUCCCUCUAGAUUCACCUCCGUCUCCUUCGUGACAAAGCGGCGUGCGGCGGAGGAACCUUCAAAUCUCCGACGAAAGCAAAGCUUCGUCCGCCUUUCUUUCUUGUCUCAUCUCCGCAUCGUUUCCGACUUUGUCUUCUGUUAUUGAGGAUGUCGAUGUUACGAUUACAUGAAGAUGGAGUGCGAUGAUGAUUGAAGAAAUGAUGCUCCGUUGAAGAUUGAUGGCGUUCUUGCUGUGUAUGAACGAAGCAAGAGAGGGAUUGAAGAUUGAUAGGUGAAGGUGAUGAUUCGUGAAGAGUGGAGAUUGAAGAUAUUAAAGGUUAUUGACGACAAAUGCAAUGCGGUUCUUGCGAUGAUUCGUAGAUGAAGGUUGAAGGUUCUGGAUCCAAAAAGAGGUUGAAGCUUGAUGAUGAAGAUGAUGAAGAACGGUUCAGAGAGCGUUUCUUCGAUACGUUCCGGUAUUCUCCUCUUUCAAUUUCUGUUACGUUUGUUGUUAAGCUUUUUGAGUUUUGUUUCCUUGUGUGAUUGAAGAUGGAAUCGAAGGGGAUCAAGGUUGAUGAUUGAUGCGAUGAUGAAGAGGAAAAGACGUGAAGAUUCAAGAGAUUGAAGGAAGAUGAAGAUGAUAAGAUUGAGAGAGAGUUCUGAGUUUUUUGUUAGCGCAUUUUUCUGUUUUUGUUUGAAGGUGAUAGAACGAAGAUGAGAAAGAUGAUUCCAGAAAACGGUCAUGGUGAUGGUUGAAUUUUCUGAAAUGUGAAGAAGGUGAAUUCCCCAGUUUGUUUCAAAUGAAGAUUGAAGUAAAUAGAGAGAGUUUUCUGUUAGGAGUUUGUUACAUUUUGCUUCCCUGAUUUUUCUGGAACUUGAUAUAAUUUCAGGUGGACUAAACCGGUUUUCAACGGUUUAUUUCCUGAUUAUGCAGGCCGCAGGGAUCGAUUCACUUGGUAACUUUGCUUUGGCUUGUCGGUGUAUGAAGGAUUGCACAAGUCUUGGUGCUGAGUCCAGGAUACCCAAUGUUGCAAGGGCCAUUUUGUUUAAAGAUGAAGCAAAACUGUCAAAAAGAUUCAAGCAACCUCAAGUAUCCGCAUAAGGACUAAAGUUUAGAAGUAGGGUCAAGCUAUACUCCUCUUGUAAUUUCUUCUAUUCUUUGUAAUUGACAAUUGAGCAUGUACACAUGGACUUUGGAUAUGUAUCUUUUGUAAUGGACCUUGAA